CAGAGCUGCAGCUCCAACAGAGAAGAACUGAAGAAAAAGCAGAAUCUCUCCUCACAACAACUGCCCAAAGGUCCCUCCCUGAGAGGGAAACAUUCCCCUUUCCAUCUUGUACAAACUCUGGACUUUGGUAAUUCUCUUUGUUUGGUUUGGACUACCCCAGCAGGGGAAAACUCUGAACUAAUCUGGCCCAGGAUAGUGGGCCAUACUACAGAAGGAGGUAGUUGUCACAAGAGAAAGGAAGAGAGUUAGCCUGCUACAUGCAUCCACGAGAAGGUGCAUUGUGUAAGAAUAAACUCCAUACACUUCAGAGGCUAGACCUCAAGUUGAAUUCGAGGUACUGGCAUUGUGGAUGAAAAGAAUAGUGAAAUCCUUAAUUACUUGAUCUACGCGGGUGGCCUAUUAAGAUUUGGAAUGGCUUAUGGUGAAAAUUAUACACGAGAGACUUGUUCAAUGCCUAUUUGGAUAUUUGGGCCAGAUCUUUAUGUCCUUACUUACUCUUUACCAAGGUUUGCCAAAGAUGCAAAAUAUAUCGUAACAAAUCAUCUGUGAAAAUCAGAAUGGAAGAAUGUGUUUUAAAAAGUCAUUUUCCUUCUGAACGUGUUUUCCCACAACAUCCCAAUUUCAAAGGUACUAUACAAUUCUCCUUCUUCUAUUAGAAGAAAAAGCUAAGUAUUGUAUUGUUUAGUUUGAGAGCGCAUAUAA